ACAAUGUUGACAAUUGGAGAAGUUUGGUUCGCCCAGACACUCUGAAAGUCACAGUGGUUUACGGGAGCUGAAUGUCCUUUCACUGGACUUGAGGUAUAUUCCCUUCCCACUACAUUGAAGAGCAACUUGCAUCUUGGCUGUAAUGGUUGAGAGAGCUAGGCCCUGUAUAUUCCAUAACCUUCUCAGAGCUGCUAUGUAGCCGUGACUGAGGAGACAAGCCAUACAGGGAACAUGA